GUUAAACUUAUCGCCUGUCGUUUUGUUCUUCAGUUCUAGUUCUUGCCGAGAACACAUUCUCGCACAAGAAAAUACAUGCCCUAACAGGACAAAAGACCAUAUUGACCAUACUGAGUGGGCGGUCUAAUAAAAUGGAGCCCGUUUGGAUGUCAGACUCGACGACGAGAAAAACUUUGAAGAUUCAUUGCAAGAAUACGAAAGAGUCGGGAAAAAUGCUACAAAUGUCCAGGCCACCGGCAACGGGGUUACGCCCGCAACCCCUGCAGCCGCUGGCAGCCCCGCAGCCACUGGCAGCCCGGAACCGCUGGAAACCAUGGAACCGCUCACAGCCCCGGGAGCGCUCGCAGCCUCAGAACCUCUGGAACCGACAGUUCGAGUGGGACAGUAACUGCGGAGACAGCGUCUCCCAUGUCUACUGUUCCAAAAUCUGCUUGAACCAGUGGCCGUUAUGUUCAC